rnacentral:rRNA from 1 species
UACGGGGGGGGGCAAGCGUUGUUCGGAAUUACUGGGCGUAAAGGGCUCGUAGGUGGCCAACUAAGUCAGACGUGAAAUCCCCUCGGCUUAACCGGGGGAACUGCGUCUGAUACUGGAUGGCUUGAGUUUUGGGAGAGGGACGCGGAAUUCCAGGUGUAGCGGUGAAAAUGCGUAGAUAUCUGGAGGAACACCGGUGGCGAAGGCGGCGUCCUGGACCCAACAUGACA